rnacentral:misc_RNA from 1 species
AAGUAGUUUAUGCUUACUGAGCCUCCCAGGUCACCCCCCAACCAAAACAAGUGUUGCACGUAGCAAUGCACAAGACCUUAGGAAGGUUUUAGCAUUGAAGAGAAUUAAAUGUGUAAUAGCAUAGAUUCGUUUAAGUUAUGUAAUAAUGUAAUGUCAUAUGUAUAAGUUUUAGUUCCAAUAAUGUCCUUAUGUUAUGUCUUAGUGUCAUAUAAGUAAAUUGUUUUGAUGUAUUAUGAUUGCAUGUUUAUGUCUGUGGUGUGGGCAUGUAUGACUAAUGUGUGAUUAUAUGAGAAUGUGCUUACCAGUAGGUUGGUAUAGAUACAUGUGUCAGAGAAUUGCUUCCUAUAGAAU